AGAGAGAGAGAGAGAGAGAGGGAGCAGAUCUAAGGGGAAUGGAAUCCCUUUUUUAUCCUUACCUAGCCCUAUUUGUAGAGGAAAAUAAUAUGAGCAUAUUCCUUGGCAUAUUCUAGGAAACAUUCUUUAGGAGUAUAUUCCUAAAUAAAAUGGGUAUAUGUUAUAUGUGAUUAAUUUAUAGUAUAUCAGAUGCCCCUUUGCUCUAGUGCAAGUUAUUUAUGAAUUAUGCUAGGGUAAACUUUCUUGUCCUAAAACUAUUAUGUCUCUAUGACUAUUUAAUUUAAUCCAAUUAGUUAAGAAUAAAAUUUCACGUAAACUAUGUGAUAGUCUUUUAGCAACAUUUUCAAUAGAGGAGUUAUUAAAUCAUUAUUAAAUAAAUGAGAGGUCCAUAAAUUCUAACAAAUUGGUGGUAGCGACGUGGAAAUUGAAAUUUGGCAAAUAAUACUAGAUUUAUAUAUAGCCUAUGACAAGUAACACACGUUGUGUAACUCUGGCUAAUCUUAGUCGACCAAUGGCAGAUUUGUAAUUCCAAAAGAAACUAAUGAUAAAUUCAAUAGGAUUUUUCUUCCUUGUUGGGUCUAAUUCUUUGUAAGUAGACUUGUUAUUCUGUAUAUAAUAACAGUCCCGAGCUCUUGACAUAAACCAUCAUGAGUUUCGACAAAUGUAGGGAUUAGGACAACAAUAGGCAUGAUGGGCAAGUCUUUCCAUGCACUCAUUCAAGUUGGUGACAUGUAGCGAAAAUGGUUCAUCCAAACAUGAAGUAGUCGGUUGUUCAAGCAUGAAGGACCAGUCAGCUAUCCAAGAUCUAAGAAGUUGGCUAUCCAAGCUUUAAAAACUAGUCAGCCAAAUGUUGAGAAAUCGGUCACCUUUACUAGGCGAAGCUCACCUGGAACAAUUCUCAAGUGCUUCCUCUUGCAUUUACUAACUUUAAAACUUUUUCGAAUAAACAUCAUGACUCUCGUGUUCUUAAUGAGCACCAUCACCUCCAUGGGCACAAACCAACCAACUAACCUCUUCAAGCUUGAUAAAACUGAAGAUGAUAUGACUAUAUAUAAUUUAGAUCGUGGAGGAAGUAAAUUUAUAGUGUUUCAUUCACUACUCGUAUGGAAUUCUUUUAAUAAUUAAGAAAUCAGAUGGUGUUUGGAACAGUGACAUGUGGUUUAUGAAGGUUUUGGGAUAAUAUGGGUACUAGAGUAUUUUUCAUAGUGCAUAUGACUGCUUCUUCCUAGAACUGCUCUACUAUGACUACUUCUAGGAAAAAAGCUUUAGUGAUCUUCUAAUGGGGAUCAUGAUGUUGGCUAGGAAAAAUUCUGAACUUCCUAAUAGGGAGGGUCUUUAUUUACAGAACUAGUGAAUCAAUACUUGUCUGGCACAUGUAAAGGCACUACAAGUGGGCUAUCUCGAUUGCCACAGUCUAUUUCAAGAGGUCCAAUCAAAGUAUUUCAGGGUAAUAAUGACUUUCACAUGCCUGAACCAAUAGGGACGGGUGGUAACAGGUCGAAUUAAGUCGGAUUAGCAUAAUAAACAGCUCACCAAACUUGUUUCCUUGAAACGAGCAAGUUUGCCAACUUUCCAUUUGGAGAUAUUCCAAUUUAAACUAGUCGAAAGAUAACAUAAGCUUUUGUCUAGAUAACACAAUUCCCCUAAACCAUGCUUUCUCAAGCCAUAAGUAGGACAUUUCAUGAUUCCAAGGACCUUAUAGGAGAAUUUUGUUUCUUAUAUUCGUAUGUCCCUCUAUUAUAUUGAGUACUUAGUUUUAGGAAUAUUUCAUCAUGAUCGUCUAGGGAAUAGAACUGAUAGUUGUCGCUAUCUUUGACCUUGUGGGCUAUAUUACUAUUUUCAAUGCUAGGGUUAAUUGUACGACCUUUUUUAUCUCAAUGUUAGCGGCGAGAUAAUGCCUAGCGCAGUUGUAUCCAACGCUUUUAAUAAGUGCAUAUGAGUCCUUCACUCAAGGGCUUAUCCACUCAUACCGUAUAGAAUUGAUGACCCCUUUAUGAGUAUACACUUGUCCUUCAUCUGAGGGUGGUUCGUUCAUUAAUGUUGUAUCAUAUUUUAUUAACUUUAUUCCUCGGAGGGGUCCUUUACUCUUAUUUUGUUCUCUAAAAAGUAUUUUUGCAUCUAAUUUUAGAAAUUUUUAUGCCCCAUUGGGAACUUUGGGAAAUGCCCCUUACUCUAAGUGCAAGUUAUUUAUGACUUGUAUCUUAGAGUAAUCAGUGUUGUUUCUUUUCUUUUUUCUUUUUUUGAAAUUUGCAGGUCUCUAAUUAGUAAAAUAACUCUUUUUAAUUUCAUAAACUUUUUAUGUACCAUUAAGAAAUGCCCCCUACUCUAAGUGCAAGCUAUUUAUGGCUCGUGUUUUAGGGUAGUCAAUUUCUAUUCUCUUUUUUUUUUUUUUUACUUUUAACAUGAGAAAUAUAAAUGUAAAAUUAGCAAAUAAUUUCAAUAAAAUUGUACGUUUUCCUCUUUAGGAGCUCAUGGCUUUACAUGUGGAGCUUCGGGGGCCUGAAGCUAAAGGGUUUUGCAUGUGGGGCCUCUGGGGCCUAGGAGUCGAAGCUCUAAAUGUGAGGCCUCGAGGGCUUGAAGCUAAAGGUUUUGCAUGUGGGGCCUUGGGGCCUGAAAGCUGGAGCUCUGAAUAUGGGACCUUGGGGGCUUGAAGCUAAAGGCUUUACAUGUGGGACCUCGAGGCUUGGGAGCUAAAGCUUUGAAUAUGGGGCCUCAGAGCCUAGGAGUCGGAGCUCAUCUUCUGAGGCUUAAAAGCCCGUCUUCAGCCUUCAUGCCUUAAAAGGCUCAGGAGUUGAGACCCCAUCAGGGUGCCUUAAGAGACUCAGGGAGUGUUUCCUCCAUCAAGGUGCCUUAAGAGGCUUAGGGGUGGUCUCCUGUCAGGGUGCCUUAAGAGGCUUAGGAGUGGUCUCCCAUCAAGUUACCUUAAAAGGCUCAAGUGGUUGUUCCUUAGCAUGGCCGAAGGCUCACGAGAGACUCUUCUGGCUUGGAGAUUCUUUGAGGCUCAUAACCUUUAGGGUUUGACCCCUUCUCUUUUUCCAACGAUCUUCAAUAGCUUAAGAGCCUUUGAUUGGAGGUUCUUAACCUUUGUUUUGGACAUCUUUUAGCCUUUUAUUAAUAUUUAUCUGUAAAACAAUUCUUAUAGAUGCAUAUUUGUGAAGAUAAUAAUAUUUAUGAUAUGUCAUAAACGCAUUCAAUAUUUCUCAACAAAUAAUAUGAUAGAUUAAAAAAAUAGUAUAUAUUUCUACGAGAUCUGUUUACUAAAUUUAAUUAAUAACGAUAGCUUUUGGACACAGAGUAUUUCACAGUGAUAUGUUUAUUCAUAAAAAUAUAUUUAUAUAUACAUGGACAUGAAAUUAAUUUUAAUUUCAAUCAAAAUUUAUAAUCAAUAGCAUUAUAAGCAAGAAUACAUAUGAUUAAAGCAAUACUAGAGCAUAUAAACUUAAAGAAAUAAAAUUUAAAAAUAAAUUCAGAUGCCCCACUCCUUAAGAAUUUAACUUCAUUAAGCUUGUAUAUUGCCCGAGUUGAUUCUAAAAGUCUAGUUGAGGGGGGUUGAAAAAUAAUUCUAUCAAAAGAUUAUAAAUUGAAAUUUCAAAACAAAUAAAGGAAAUGAUUGAAAUUAAAAUUAUAAUUAUAUUUAUUCUAAAGUAAAAUUGGAUUUAAUUCUAAACAAUUAUAAAUCUACAUCUUAUAUUUGACCUCACAGCAAGGAUAUAACAAAGUAAAUUGGAUAAAAAUUUAUGAUGCUAAACUAUAAAUGAAAGGAAUAUACGGUAAUAAUUACGAGUAAUGGUCUUUCUUUUCUUGGGCUAAAAAAUUGUAAGUGAUAAGAAUUAUGGUUAUUAAAAAUACAAGACAUUAUAUUAGUUUCUCAAGCAUGCAGACCAUUUUGCUGUAAAUGGUACAUUUCAUAAUUAAGAGCAAGAAAUAUGUCCAUGACCAAGAACUUUGACAAAUGAGAAUUGUUUAAAUCAGCAAAGUAACAAUUGGGCCUAUAAUGAAAAUUAAAACCAACGACAAGAAAGACAUGCCAAGCACUUUCGAUUAUGAGAUGGGUCCAUCCGCAUUUAUUGGAUUAAAUUAUAAUAAUUCACCAAUUUUGGUAGCUUUCAUGGCUAUGAAAAUUGCUAUUUGUGUAUAAUUCAUAUUAACCACGGGAUAAUUACAAGUUGCAGGUGAUAAGUGGCAACCAUUUGAGUUGUUUAUACUUAUACUAGAGGGACUGAAGCUCGUAAAUGCUUAACUAAAUCUUUAAGCAAAUGUAUCCAUGUGGAGAUUUGCAAUAUUAGAUAAAAUGAGUUAUAAUAAUUUCUUUUUAUUAUAAACAUACCUCCACAUGGCAUUCAUGAAAUGUUAAACAAAACUUGUACUGCUAUGAUUGGCAAUAACAAUAUAAGUCUACACAAGUUUAUACCCUACUUGGCCUGAUAUUCUUACUUCGUUGGCCAAAACAUGUGCAGGGACCAUUUUCUGCACACAAUUUUUUCCCGACAACCGACCAGGACAAGCUUGCGAGUACAUAAAUCACCAGCGCAACGCUUACGAGCACCAAGGGCACAAUCUCAUGACCAGGUGCUGUGCUCAGGUCUCUAUUCAAAGCCCCACUCUGAAGCUCAUCCCACGAGCUUGGUUAACUAUGACUUCUUUUGGUCAUUGACACCAAUCCUACGAGCUACAAGAGUUCGGCUCAAUGUCAGGUUAGACAAGUGCAGUGUCUAUAGAAAGACAGCCUAGCCCAUGCAGCACGUCUUCUACAAUUAACACGUACGGGCUAUCAAUCUCGUCUUCUAGUAACGACUACUGCUGGUCAUGACACAUCUAGCCUACUUGUUCCAGAUGUUCAGAGCCCUCAAGUUCUCUCCGGGUCAUUGAAUAGAGCUCGUCCAACCCCGAGUCAUUUUGGACAACCAAAAAUUUGCUUUGAAGAAAGGUAAUGAUGACAGUUUUUGUAAAUAAACUCAAGUUUUAUAACAAAUAGUGGUUUUUUGCAAUAUGCAUGUAGAGACGGACACUUGCUCAUGCUAUGACUCCGACCAACAUGAGUCGUUCCUCCAUCGACUGAUUGAUUGCACAAGCUUGUCUCAGUGUACGAGCUCGUCUCAGCCCAUAGUUUCUCCAAACGACCACUCUGGCCGUGUACGACUACUCACCCUUACCAAGUACGACCAUUAGAGGUCGUCUCUUAACAAGCCGACUUGUUUUAGACAACCACCUAGUACGACCAUUGGAGGUCGUCCCUUAACUCUAAGCCCGUUUGACUCAAAACUGUCCUGGGCACUCUCAACAAGCACCGCCACAAUCACACCUGUAUCAUCACUUGCUCCCAACUUUCUUCAAUAUUAUGAAAACAUGUUUAUAGCAAACAAAAUCCAUUCUUGUCGCAUUUAUUUAUUUAUUUAUUUAUAUUAAUUCGAAACUCAGAUAAUUUAGACAGAUCUAGACUUGGUCAGAAACAAAUUCCUAGAUCUCACUCUGGUAACAAGAAGGUAGAGAAAGCUCGAGCAGAGGUUGCAAAUGCGCUUAGAACAAAUAGGUUUGAGUUAAUUACCUCAUAGUAUGGAGAUUUUUCAUCAGAGAAAUAAAUUCUUCAAGCCGGGUAGUUGUAAACCACUGGCUAUCCUCUUUGUCCACCAACUAUUUCUCGAACAAUGGAUCCGUCCUAUUUCUUGAACAAUGGAUCCCUCCUAUGUCGGGACUUUAGAAAAUAAAAAGAUGUUGAUUUUUCAACAAGAAUGAGAAAAACACAGCUUCUUGUGUCGGUUCCCAUAAACGGCGUCAAUUAAUGAAGCAUAAAACUGUAGCUUUAUUGAUAUAAGUUCUAUUUCCAUUGUCUCAGCUUAAGGGAUCCGUUAGAGGGGUAGUAGUGCAGAGAGAAAAGGGAGGUAGAGUCGAGAGAGAGAAGAGUAAUAAGGCAGGGAAGGAGAGAGAGGAGAAAGAGAGAGCAGAUACGAGAGAUGAAUACCUUCUUACCUGGUUCUAUUUAUAUGAAAAAAUAAUGAGAGUAUAUUCUUUAUCAUAUUCUUUAACAUAUUUUAAGAAAUAUUCUUUAGAGCUAUAUUCCUCAAUGAAAUGAAUAUAUAUUAUAUGUGAUUAUUUUAUAGUGUAUUAAAUAAGAAUCUAAUUCAACCACUUCUUUUACGGGAUGGUAAGAAUUGAUGACCAAAGUAAACUUUACGCUUUAGUACCUAUAUGAAAAAAGGUAAAAGAUAGCAAAAAGGAUCUCUAUCUUUCCUACAAUGAUAGAUAUAAUAAUAAGUGAACCAAUGACAAAUAACAAUUAAAUAAAUGUAAAGUUAUUCUCAAGUGGGUUGUCCUUAUUAUAGAAAUCUAUACAAGAAGUUUAAUCAUAUAAGGUGAUAUAGACUAGAGGUAUUAAAGUGAAUUUAUAGAAUAAUUAAUUUGCUCGACUUAUUCAUCAAGAAUAGCAGAUAAAUCGACCUAUUUUUCUAAAGUAACUAUUAAAAGUAGGUAGAAAAAGAGCGAUUAUAACCUUUUAAUUUUAUUUCAUAGCAUCUUAGAUUAAACACGAUAACUUCAUCAAAAGAAAUAAUUAGUUCUUUAAAGAAAAUAUAUGUUGGUAAUUAAUAAAUUCUUAAUAGAGUAAAAUAGUUAUCUUUUAUUGAAAGUUGAAAUCAGAUAUACAACUCCCUUUUUUUUUCUUUAGUUAAGAAGUAAUUUAGGCCAAAAUAAUCGUGUAAAAAAGUGAUUUAUUUUAUAUCUAAUAAUUAAAAAAAUAUGACUAUUUUAUUAGGAUACAUGUCUCUUAUCUAAGGAUUCGGCUAAUUAUAUUGUAUCAAACAUAAAAUAAAGUAACAUUAUUAAGAAAAAGAUUUGCUUUUAUCUAAAUAAUAUAAUCAAUUUGAUUGAAUUUCUUAUUUGACAUUAAUUUUUACAAUAAUUAUUAUUGUCCUUUCAGGCCACAUUUAUACAUCUUUUCUCGCGUUGUGAUAUGAGUUUAUUAUGUCAAAGUAACCAUGCCAUUUAUUUAUUUUAUGCUUUUAAUAAUAAAAAAAAAUAUUUAUUCUAUUUUUUAAUAAUAAUUAUUAAUAAAAAAAUAUUUAUUUUAUCAGAGUCUCACAGAAAGAUUGAAAGAAAGAACGACAAUUACGAACGCUGGGGUUUAGGUUUACCUUUUCUCUAAGGAUGAUCGAUUACUCAAAAACUAAAUGGGUCUGCGGAGUCUUUGGGCAGAACCAUUCAAUCCCCACGAAAGCGUAGGUCAGUUUGCCGAUUUGCGUUUAAAUUAGAUUAUAUUUUCUGUUCGUCAGUUAUUACAAUUACUUGUUACCAAUCAAGUCAUUGUACAAGAAAAUUGAUGUAGUAAAGGAAAUCAAAUUCACCUCCUUGAUAUAUUUAUCUACAUUGCAAUUUCCCAAUUGAUAAAAUAAAGAUUGUGUUAAAUCAAAAUAGGAAUUAAAGUUUGAAUUAAAAAUUAAUUGGGAGUUAAAAGUAAUUAAGAAAGUUUAAGUGAAAAAAGAAGUGUUAGAAUUAUGAUUCAAAAUCUUAAUGGGAUUUGGAGAGACCUUUUACUAAUUUAAGUGGAAGAAAUAUUUUCUAUAUAGAAUUAUUCCUUAAUUGAGUAAGACUCCUAAUCAGAUUAUAAUUGAGAGAAUUAACAUUAUAAAUAAGAGAUUAGUCGAAAAAAUUAUUUGACUUUCGAUUCAUUGAGUUAGGCUGUUGCCCAUUGUAGAGAGG
rnacentral:misc_RNA from 1 species